rnacentral:sRNA from 1 species
AAAAAAAAAGGAAAAA